UCCUCAUACCCAUUCCACACUUAAACGUUUUCAUCAUUCUCUGCCAAAGAAAUUUUCAAGUAUCAGUUAAUUCUUGCUUCAUUCAACACCAACGAGCAGUCCAUAAACACCAAGCAUCAUUCAAGGUAUUUCAUGCCAUCUCAGUUCACUAUCUUCAUAUAUGCAUUCCACUUCCCUCACUUCAUGUUUUAGAAAUUCAGAAAUAUAGGAUGGAGUUUAUUACAGAGAAACAUAGUAAAACACAUAUGCGUACAUGAUUAGCAUUCAACAGAAAUAGUUUAAUUCAUACAUUGAUACCUUUAUACUACCUUUGUACUUAGAACCAAGUCAUGAGAAUUUCCAUCAGCAACAAAACGAAUUGAAAUACAAUAGUAGAGAGAUAGAACAAUAACUUAGUUUUAGAAAGACAUCGAACGCGGCCCUGCGCAGUCGAGCCGCAACAACGGUAACUUCCUACGGCCUCAUCGGAGCCCGAGAACGACAGCAGCGGCUGCCAAGGCUCCAGUUGGCGACGGUGGCGGCAACUCCAGACGACGGCGGACUCCUCGACGAACAGCAACAGUCGGCGGACUCCUCGGUGAACAGCAGCAACAGCCGCGACUCCGGGCGAGCAGCAGCAGUUCCAGGCGGCUGAGCGGGGCGGCGCGGCCGAAGGCCAAGCGCCGCUGGUCGCGGCCCAGAGCUGAACAGCAGUAGUCAGCGGCAGCAGCUCCACGCGGCGACCUCGCUGUGAGUCGCCGGAGCAACAGAAAGCGACGCUCCUCGCCGUUGAAGAGAAGAGCCG
rnacentral:lncRNA from 1 species